UAACCUCUGGCCACCGUGGCGCACGUUG
rnacentral:ncRNA from 1 species